UCUCCGUAGGUGAACCUGCGGAGGGAUCAUUACACAAAUAUGAAGGCGGGCUGGAACCUCUCGGGGUUACAGCCUUGCUGAAUUAUUCACCCUUGUCUUUUGCGUACUUCUUGUUUCCUUGGUGGGUUCGCCCACCACUAGGACAAACAUAAACCUUUUGUAAUUGCAAUCAGCGUCAGUAACAAAUUAAUAAUUACAACUUUCAACAACGGAUCUCUUGGUUCUGGCAUCGAUGAAGAACGCAGCGAAAUGCGAUAAGUAGUGUGAAUUGCAGAAUUCAGUGAAUCAUCGAAUCUUUGAACGCACAUUGCGCCCUUUGGUAUUCCAAAGGGCAUGCCUGUUCGAGCGUCAUUUGUACCCUCAAGCUUUGCUUGGUGUUGGGCGUCUUGUCUCUAGCUUUGCUGGAGACUCGCCUUAAAGUAAUUGGCAGCCGGCCUACUGGUUUCGGAGCGCAGCACAAGUCGCACUCUCUAUCAGCAAAGGUCUAGCAUCCAUUAAGCCUUUUUUUCAACUUUUGACCUCGGAUCAGGUAGGGAUACCCGCUGAACUUAAGCAUAUCAAAGGGGGGAAGGAA
rnacentral:rRNA from 1 species